ACAGAUGGAAGGGAAAAUUCAAACAAUUUACCAGAACCCAGAUCCAGUCCAGUGCUAUCUCUAGGGUAGAGUUCUGGGGACUUCUGCCCACCAGCCAAGUGGGUGGCUGCCAAUAUUUUUUCCUGGUGUGCAUAUGCCCCCUGAUGACCACUUCCCUACACACUUGCAUAUGUACUCCCAUGACCCAUGUGUUUGUAAGAAAAAGAUUUUGCUUUUUACUUUUCUCCUCCCAUUUACCACUCUGACUUCUCACCAACUGUUCACCAGUAAAAUCUUUGUGCUGACAUUUUGGCAGGACACUGUUCUUACCUAAUUGGACUUGUACCCUUCUGGGGCCACUGGGGCCCUCUGGGGCAGAUCAAGAGAUCUUCCAUAGAAACUCUAUAUUUACCCUGCUGACCUCCAACCUCAGUAAUUGCUGGGCUUACUAUAAGACACUUUCACCUGAUUCCUCUGAGUUACCCCAAACUCACUAUCCCUUCUAGGACUACUCCAAUCAGCCUGCCAUUGUGUCUCUGUUUCCUCCUUGAGCCAACAUCUUGGCCCACUGUACAGCCUAUUGGGUCCAAGAAUUGAACUACGAAAUCAAGCACACCGACAGUCUGAGAAUAUUCAGAAGAUUUUCAGCCAUCCAUGUCAUCUCCCAGGAUGGAUAUCAUCCUCUAUAUCUAAGUGAUGUGCCCAUUUUGAGUUCAUCCUGGUCUAUCCUGUGAGAUGUUGGCCUACACCUAGUUUCUGCCAGACUGCUUUCCAGUUUUCCCAGCAGUUUUUGUUAAA